rnacentral:rRNA from 1 species
GACGAACGCUGGCGGCGUGCCUAAUACAUGCAAGUAGAACGCUGAAGAGAAGAGCUUGCUCUUCUUGGAUGAGUUGCGAACGGGUGAGUAACGCGUAGGUAACCUGCCUGGUAGCGGGGGAUAACUAUUGGAAACGAUAGCUAAUACCGCAUGAUAUUAAUUGUCGCAUGAUAAUUAAUUGAAAGAUGCAAUUGCAUCACUACCAGAUGGACCUGCGUUGUAUUAGCUAGUUGGUGAGGUAACGGCUCACCAAGGCGACGAUACAUAGCCGACCUGAGAGGGUGAUCGGCCACACUGGGACUGAGACACGGCCCAGACUCCUACGGGAGGCAGCAGUAGGGAAUCUUCGGCAAUGGGGGGAACCCUGACCGAGCAACGCCGCGUGAGUGAAGAAGGUUUUCGGAUCGUAAAGCUCUGUUGUAAGAGAAGAACGGGUGUGAGAGUGGAAAGUUCACACUGAGACG